GUUAAGAACAACUGUUCUAAAAGCACCAAAUAUCACCUGAUCUUGGAAGCUAAGCAAAGUCAGUCCUGGUUAGUACUUGGAUGGGAGAUCAACUAUGAAUCCCAGGUGCUGUAGGCU
rnacentral:rRNA from 1 species